rnacentral:rRNA from 1 species
GAUGAACGCUGGCGGCGUGCCUAAUACAUGCAAGUCGAGCGAACAGACGAGGAGCUUGCUCCUCUGACGUUAGCGGCGGACGGGUGAGUAACACGUGGAUAACCUACCUAUAAGACUGGGAUAACUUCGGGAAACCGGAGCUAAUACCGGAUAAUAUAUUGAACCGCAUGGUUCAAUAGUGAAAGACGGUUUUGCUGUCACUUAUAGAUGGAUCCGCGCCGCAUUAGCUAGUUGGUAAGGUAACGGCUUACCAAGGCGACGAUGCGUAGCCGACCUGAGAGGGUGAUCGGCCACACUGGAACUGAGACACGGUCCAGACUCCUACGGGAGGCAGCAGUAGGGAAUCUUCCGCAAUGGGCGAAAGCCUGACGGAGCAACGCCGCGUGAGUGAUGAAGGUCUUCGGAUCGUAAAACUCUGUUAUUAGGGAAGAACAAAUGUGUAAGUAACUAUGCACGUCUGGACGGUACCUAAGCAGAAAACCACGGCUAACUACGU